GCGCCCAUAUAUCCCAUUGAUAGUAAAAAUUUAAUAAUUUGUAACGGCCUCUCCGAAGGCAGAAGUCGCGCGUUCGAAACGCGCCGGGUGCACCA
rnacentral:tRNA from 1 species